rnacentral:rRNA from 1 species
AACGAACGCUGGCGGCAUGCCUAACACAUGCAAGUCGAACGACACCUCCGUGUCUAGUGGCGCACGGGUGCGUCACGCGGGGGAACCUGCCCUUAGACUCGGAAUUAUUCUCCGUAAGGGGUGCUAACACCGGAUAAUGUCUUCGGAUCACAGAUUGAUCGUCCUUGGAUGGGCCCGCGUUGGUUUAGCUUGUUGGUAGGGUAAGAGCCUACCAAGGCAUCGAUCCAUAGCUGGUUUGAGAGCAUGGGCAGCCACACUGAGUCUGGGGCACGGCCGAGAAUACUAGGGGAGGGGGGAAUGGCGGAUAUAGGAAUAUGGGGGGAAGGCAGAAGCAGCAAGGCCGGGUGAGUGAUGAAGGCGUGAGAGAUGUAAAGCUCUUUUACCCGGGAUGAUAAUGACGGUACCGAAAGAAUAAGCACCGGCUAACUCCGUG